ACUGCUGGAAGCGUUCGGUGGCGCGGAAGUUCUUCUCAUGGGCUUCGACGUCGUCCCACUCGACGAGCAGCAC
rnacentral:tRNA from 1 species